rnacentral:rRNA from 1 species
GCGGAGGAAAAGAAACUAACUAGGAUUCCCCUAGUAGCGGCGAGCGAAGCGGGAAGAGCCCAAAAUGAAAAGCCUGAAUACAGGCGUUGUAGUUGAGCGUUCUUGGGGUGGCAGUGUGGGUAAGUUGCAUGAAACUGCACGCCGUGGAGGGUGAUAGCCCCGUCCAGCCUACACAGGACACCUCGUACGAGAGCGUUUCGAACGAGUCGGGUAGCUUGGGAAUGCUGCUCUAAUUGGUGGUAAAUCUCAUCAAAGGCUAAAUAGCGGCUGGAGACCGAUAGCAAACAAGUACCGUGAGGGAAAGAUGAAAAGCACUUUGAAAAGAGGGUGAAAAGAACCUGAAACCGUCACGGGGGAAGCGGAUCGCGUUGGCCUGGUGGGCGCUUGUGUGUUCAGCCUUUUUGGGUGCAUUGGCACAAGUGCUUAUCCGUCGUGGGUUUCCGGGGAUUGACAAUGAAUCGCCGGGGGCUGAGGGCUCCCUUCGGGUGAGGACGACGGAGCGACGACGCGAUACGACCCGUCUUGAAACACGGACCAAGGAGUCUAGCGCGGGUGCGAGUCGGAGGGUGCAAGCCCGUGGGCGUAGUGAAAGCGAGUGUAAAAACGAGCAGUUUGAGGCGGCAUAAGAUCGUUGAUCUUAAGACCGACCUAGAGCAGUUGCGCUGGGACCCGAAAGAUGGUGAACUAUGCCGGAGUAGGGCAAAGCCAGAGGAAACUCUGGUGGAGGCUCGUAGCGGUGCUGACGUGCAAAUCGCUCGUCCAACUUGGGUAUAGGGGCGAAAGACUAAUCGAACCAUCUAGUAGCUGGUUCCCUCCGAAGUUUCUCUCAGGAUAGCGGGCCGACAGGUUGUUUUGUGCGGUAAAGCGAAUGAUUAGCGUAAUUGGGGACAUCUAGUCUUCGGGCGAUUCUCAAACUUUAAAUGCGCAAGGGUGUCGCUGCUUUGUUGAGCGGCACCGGUAAAAACGUCGGCCCUGUGGGCCACUUUUGGUAAGCAGAACUGGCGAUACGGGAUGAACCGUAAGCAUGGUUAAGGCGCCAAACUGCCCGCUUAUAGAUCCCACAAAAGGUGUUGAUUCAUCGAGACAGCAGGACGGUGGCCAUGGAAGUCGGAAUCCGCCAAGGAGUGUGUAACAACUCACCUGCCGAAUGAAUUAGCCCUGAAAAUGGAUGGCGCUGAAGCGGGCGGCCGACACCAUGCCGUCUGGAAAAGAAUUUCAGAUGAGUAGGAGGGCGUGGGGGCCGUGUCGAAGCGUGCGUGCAGACGCGCGUGGAACGGCCUCUAGUGCAGAUCUUGGUGGUAGUAGCAAGUAUUCAAGCGAGAUCCUUGAAGGGCGAAGCGGGGAAGGGUUCCACGCGAACAUUGAUUGGGCGUGGGUGAGUCGUUCCUAAGCCGAGUGGCGAUUGCUAAGUAGCGGCGAAAGGGAAGCGGGUUGACAUUCCCGCACACGGAUGUGGAGGCGGUGACGCAUUAUUGGGGCGAACACGCUGGCGACGGCGCUGGGCAGAGUUGUCUUUUCUGUUUAACCGCAUGUGCGCGCGGUGUGGAAUCCGCUUGUCGGGAGAAACACGCGUGCACGGGCAGAGCGCCGGGGCUUUUCCGGCGUCCAGCUCGCCGUCGACGGCCCUUGAAAAUUUGCCUGCUGAUUUAGAUCCACGCCGUGGCGUACCGAUCACCGCAUCAGGUCCCCGAGGUGAACAGCCUCUGCUCUAUAUGAAAAAUGCAGGUAAGGGAAGUCGGCAAAUUAGACCCGUAACUUUGGGAAAAGGGUUGGCUCUAGUGCUGCGUGGGAGUGGUUGUCGGACGUUGGCGUUUCUGGCUUGGCAGCUUGGCGCGAGACCCUCACGGGACUUGUUCCGGCAGCUAAGCUGGUUUCACCACGGCCGACGACGCCCACAGCAUGCAGCAGACUAGAACUGCAACGGGCAAAGGGAAUCCGACUGUUUAAUUAAAACAAAGCAUUGCGAGGGCCGUGGCCGGUGAUGACGCAAU